CACUCUCUGCCCAGCUCCCUCGUCUGCCGCGUACUGAUGCCAGAGUUGGAAUAUGACGUCGCUCCGGCAUCAGAACGCGGUUCGUGGGGGAGCUGGGCAGAGAGCGCUCAGC